GUGCGCCGCGUUCCCGUCCAGGUAUCAACCUCCACAACCAAGAGCGCACAGCGUGGCUCCGCAGAAGGUUCACCAGAUUUGCUCUGAUGUGUGGAUCGAUACCUUGAAGGUGAAUUCAUGCUCCCUCGCCAAAUCGAAGUCCAACACGCGGAGAGUCUCGCUCAGCCGAACCUUUUCAGCGUGUGCGUUCCACUGGCGGGACUGAACCCGGGGAAGGAGCCGUCUCUGCGGACUACCUUGCUCCUUCAGCCAAUCCAAGUGCUCCGGCGAGUGGCGGCGCUGUAUCAAAACCUGGCCCGGACAGCAGCGAGGAAUGGAAGCUGUUUAUUAAAUGCAUGGCGAAUACAAGUUCGGGAUUUAGAAGAAACAGUCAAUCAAAAGUGUGACAUAAGAAGAAAAUGUGGUCUUCCCUAUAACUCUGUCUCAACGAAUAUGAGACGGAGUUGUCUCUGCUUCAAAUGAUCUGCUAUCUGCUUAAAAAAAAUUUCUCAUAAAUUUUGAAUAUUACAGAAUACCAGUUAUUAAAAGACUUAUAAUGUAAAAAUGUAACCUCACAUGCACCUACUUAGUCACACAUGUAUAAAAUAUUUUGUCUGGA